UCUAGGGUAGCCUAGUGGACAUGGCACCUGCCCGGUAAGCAGAAGGUUGUGGGUUCGAUUCCCGCCCCUGGAC